rnacentral:rRNA from 1 species
UAGGGAAUCUUCCACAAUGGACGAAAGUCUGAUGGAGCAACGCCGCGUGAGUGAUGAAGGGUUUCGGCUCGUAAAACUCUGUUGUUGGAGAAGAACGGGUGUCAGAGUAACUGUUGACAUCGUGACGGUAUCCAACCAGAAAGCCACGGCUAACUACGUGCCAGCAGCCGCGGUAAUACGUAGGUGGCAAGCGUUGUCCGGAUUUAUUGGGCGUAAAGCGAGCGCAGGCGGUUUUUUAGGUCUGAUGUGAAAGCCUUCGGCUUAACCGGAGAAGUGCAUCGGAAACCGGGAGACUUGAGUGCAGAAGAGGACAGUGGAACUCCAUGUGUAGCGGUGAAAUGCGUAGAUAUAUGGAAGAACACCAGUGGCGAAGGCGGCUGUCUGGUCUGCAACUGACGCUGAGGCUCGAAAGCAUGGGUAGCGAACAGGAUUAGAUACCCUGGUAGUCCAUGCCGUAAACGAUGAGUGCUAAGUGUUGGAGGGUUUCCGCCCU